UACAGCUGUGAUGAGUGUGGGAAGGAUUUUACCCGGGCUGGAGACUUAAAAACACACCAACUCAUCCACAGUGGAGUUAAAGCUUACAGCUGUGAGUCGUGUGGAAAAUCUUUUACCCAGGCUGGAAACUUGAAACGACACCAGCUCACCCACAGUGGAGUUAAAGCAUACAGCUGUGAGUUGUGUCGAAAAUCUUUUAACCAGGCUGGACACUUGAAAAGACACCAACUCAUCCACAGUGGAAUUAAACCGUACAACUGUGACUUGUGUGGAGAGUUUUUUACCCACGCUGAAAGCUUAAAAAGACAUCAACUCAUCCACAGUGAAGUUAAACCGUACACCUGUGACCUGUGUGGAAAAUCUUUUACCCAGGCUGAAAGCUUAAAAACACACCAACUCAUCCACAGUGGAGUUAAAGCGUACAGCUGUGACCUGUGUGGAAAAUUUUUUACCCAGGCUCGACACUUAAAAAAACACCAACUCAUCCACAGUGGAGUUAAAGCGUACAGCUGCGAUCAGUGUGGUAAAGCUUUUACUCACAGUAGCCACUUACGGCUUCAUCUAGUUACACACUCUGGAAUUAACGCGUACAGCUGUGACAUUUGUGGAAAAACUUUCAGUCGCCAAGGGGACCGAAAUAGGCACCUACGCAUUCACACUAGACAUGAUGUUUACUGCUGUGAUCAGUGUUGGAAACCGUUUACAACAGAUGCACAGUUACAAAGCCACAUGUUUACCCACACUGAGGAAAGACCUUAUAAAUGUGACCUGUGUGAGAAGACUUUUAAAUCUCCACGUUACCUGAAAAUACACCAACAGAUCCACACCAGAAAGAAACUCUACAAGUGCAGUUACUGUGUGAAGCAGAACGACACAGAUGGAUCCAGUUCUCAACCCUGUCAUCACUGUGGAGGUGGGAAAGCGUUUCGUUGUGACCUUUGUGGAAAAACUUUCAAUCAGCAACGAAGCCUAAAAAUGCAUCAGCGUAAACACACUGAAGACAAAAUGAUCUACUGUAAAGAAUGUGGAAGAGGCUUCCCCACUCAAUCUGAUUUUAAACAACAUGAAAUCUUCCACAGUGGGGUUAAAAAGCACGCCUGUAACCAGUGUGCAUACUUCUCCACCUCUACAGGUCAGCUUAAAAGACAUAAACGAGUCCACACAGGAGAGAAACCAUACAAGUGUAGACACUGUAACAAAAGGUUCUCAGAAUCGAGCAGUCGUAACAAUCAUGAACGUACACACAUUGAAGGGAACUUCAGCUGUGACCAGUGUGACAAGAGCUUCAAGAAUAUCAGUUCAUACUCCAAACACAAACGAUCCCAUUCUCAUUAUUCAUUAUCUGCUCUGUGCAAUCAGAGUAAGCGUGAUCAUGAAAUCAUUCCUAUUACUGAAUCACAAUGACUCUGCAGAGACAGAAAGUUCCUCUUCUGGUUUCAGGGUCAGACUUAAAAACCUUGAGAUCAGGCUCCACAGAGUUCAGAUGGAAUCUCCUGUAAAGAGUGUCAGCUGAUGUCAGACUUGGAUCUCAUAAGGUAGCUCUGAUUUCUGGACCUGCAGUAAAUAAUCCUGAAUCUUAAAUUUGAUGAGCUGCAAGUAUAGAUGUGUACAUCAAGUUUUUGUGUUUUAAUUUUAAUGCAUUUUAUUGCUCUGAAACGUUAUUCCUGUUACAUUUUACAUAAUUCCCCCUCAGAAAACAGUAGUGUUUAGUUGUAGUACUUGUAUUAUAAAGUUACAGAAAUAUCUUUUAAAGCCAGCUGAUAAGUAUCAGUCUUGGUAGCCGGGGAUCGGUCUGCUCUCAUUGUAGUGUUUUUUUUUUUUUUUUAGUUUAAAGAAUAUGAUAAGUGGUAAGACAAUGAAUUUUACUUCUCACUGUCACUGUACAUGUUAUGUAGCAGUAUCCAUUUUAUCAUGCAUGUAUGCUACUUUUCUCUGCUGGCUGGAAAUGGUUUUUCUUUUGUUUUCAUGAAAUAAACUAGACUAAAUUAGA